GACGAACGCUGGCGGCGUGCUUAACACAUGCAAGUCGAACGGAAAGGCCCUGCUUGCAGGGUACUCGAGUGGCGAACGGGUGAGUAACACGUGGGUGAUCUGCCCUGCACUUCGGGAUAAGCCUGGGAAACUGGGUCUAAUACCGGAUAGGAGCCAGUUUUAGUGUGAUGGUUGGAAAGUUUUUUCGGUGUAGGAUGAGCUGGCGGCCUAUCAGCUUGUUGGUGGGGUAAUGGCCUACCAAGGCGGCGACGGGUAGCCGGCCUGAGAGGGUGGACGGCCACACUGGGACUGAGAUACGGCACCGACUCCUACGGGAGGCCGCAGUGGGGAAUAUUGCACAAUGGGCGCCAGCCUGAUGCAGCGACGCCGCGUGGGGGAUGACGGCCUUAGGGUUGUAAAAUCCUUUCGCUAGGGACGAAGCUUUUUGUGACGGUACCUAGAUAAGAAGCGCCGGCUAACUACGUG
rnacentral:rRNA from 1 species